GUGGGGAAUCUUGCGCAAUGGGCGAAAGCCUGACGCAGCCAUGCCGCGUGAAUGAUGAAGGUCUUAGGAUUGUAAAAUUCUUUCACCGGGGACGAUAAUGACGGUACCCGGAGAAGAAGCUCCGGCUAACUUCGUGCCAGCAGCCGCGGUAAUACGAAGGGGGCUAGCGUUGCUCGGAAUUACUGGGCGUAAAGGGCGCGUAGGCGGACAGCUUAGUCAGAGGUGAAAGCCCAGGGCUCAACCUUGGAAUUGCCUUUGAUACUGGCUGUCUUGAGUUUGGGAGAGGUGAGUAGAACUCCGAGUGUAGAGGUGAAAUUCGUAGAUAUUCGGAAGAACACCAGUGGCGAAGGCGACUCACUGGCCCAAUACUGACGCUGAGGCGCGAAAGCGUGGGGAGCAAACAGGAUUAGAUACCCUGGUAGUCC
rnacentral:rRNA from 1 species